AUUGAACGCUGGCGGAAUGCUUUACACAUGCAAGUCGAACGGCAGCACGGACUUCGGUCUGGUGGCGAGUGGCGAACGGGUGAGUAACAUAUCGGAACGUAUCCAAUAAUGGGGGGUAACGAGUCGAAAGAUUCGCUAAUACCGCAUACGCCCUACGGGGGAAAGCUGGGGACCUUCGGGCCUGGCGUUAAUGGAGCGGCCGAUAUCUGAUUAGCUAGUUGGUGAGGUAAAGGCUCACCAAGGCGACGAUCAGUAGCUGGUCUGAGAGGACGACCAGCCACACUGGAACUGUGACACGGUCCAGACUCCUACGGGAGGCAGCAGUGGGGAAUUUUGGACAAUGGGCGCAAGCCUGAUCCAGCCAUUCCGCGUGAGUGAAGAAGGCCUUCGGGUUGUAAAGCUCUUUCGCAAGGGAAGAAAACUUAGCCACUAACAUUGGUUGAGGUUGACGGUACCUUGAUAAGAAGCCCCGGCUAACUACGUGCCAGCAGCCGCCGUAA
rnacentral:rRNA from 1 species